GGUGGUAUAGUAUAGUGGAUAGUACAACACGUUGUGGACACAUACUGGUACCGUGUAGACCUGGGUUCGAUUCCCAGUACCGCCA
rnacentral:tRNA from 1 species